UGCCAGCAGCCGCGGUAAUACGAAGGGAACUAGCGUUGUUCGGAUUUACUGGGCGUAAAGAGCAUGUAGGCGGCUUGGUCAGUUGGGUGUGAAAUCCCCGGGCUUAACCUGGGAACUGCAUUCAAUACUGCCAAGCUAGAGUAUGGGAGAGGGUAGUGGAAUUCCAUGUGUAGCGGUGAAAUGCGUAGAUAUGUGGAGGAACACCCGUGGCGAAGGCGACCGCCUGGCCCAAUACUGACGCUGAGGUGCGAAAGCGUGGGUAGCGAACAGGAUUAGAUA
rnacentral:rRNA from 1 species